CAACUCACAAGUGCUAAAAAAGGCUGCAAGAUGCCUAGCUAGCAACUGCUCCAACCAGUUUGAAGGAAGAAGGGGUGUAUUUCUCCACAGACCCAGAUGUGUACAGCAAAAGGACUGGCGCAUUCAGGUGAAGAUGGACUGGUGGCAACAUGUGUCGGAAGGGGGCAAGCUUGGUCAUGCAGCACACUUCAUGAUGAGGGCUCCUUCGAUUGCACAGACCAGUUUGGCUGUGCUAUGGUGCAGUCCCACCAGGUCUUUCUUCCCUGCUCACUUGCAGGACCAUUUCAAUAGCUGCCAGAGCUGCGGGGGCUGAAGCAAAGGCUAGAGAAAGCUGCGACCAGGACGUUGGCCUGUUCCAAGCAGUCUCGAAACGCACACAAGAAUGGGAAAAUGUCGAUCCGGACAGCACGCCCCAGGGAGCGUCACUCGUCAGAGGCGGUCUCGACGGGCAGGCCGGGCGGUGCCCAGGGAGCAGCGUCACCCGUCUGUGGCUGCCCCGAUGGGCAGGCCGGGUGGCACUCCGGCAGCAGCUGCAUCCGUCUGUAGCGGCCCCGACAGCAGGCCGGGCGGCACCUUGGGAGCGGUGGCACACGUUUAUGUGUGGGGUGGCCCCGACGGCAGACCGGGCAACAGAGGCAGUCUACAGGGAAUAGCGGCACACGCCUAUGGUGGCUCCGACGGCAGGUCGGACACCGAGGCGGCUCCCAUGGAGCAGCGGCACCCGUCUGUGGCGGCAUCGACGGCAGGACGGGCGGUGCUGAUGUAGUAGCGUCUAGUUUGCUGAUAAACGUUAGCGAUAUAGGCAUCAUCCUAGUCACCAUGCUCAGGCGCUUCGAUGAUAUGCUUGUGCUGGGAUAAGGUCAACCUAGAAUUCUGACCUUACGUCAAAGUCAGGUCAGCCU